UCCUACGGGGGGCAGCAGUGAGGAAUAUUGGUCAAUGGGCGGGAGCCUGAACCAGCCAAGCCGCGUGAGGGAAGAAGGUACAGCGUAUCGUAAACCUCUUUUGUCAGGGAACAAAGGCGGGGACUAGUCCCCGGAUGAGGGUACCUGAAGAAAAAGCAUCGGCUAACUCCGUGCCAGCAGCCGCGGUAAUACGGAGGAUGCGAGCGUUAUCCGGAUUUAUUGGGUUUAAAGGGUGCGCAGGCGGCCUGUUAAGUCAGCGGUAAAAGCCCGGGGCUCAACCCUGGCGAGCCGUUGAAACUGGCGGG
rnacentral:rRNA from 1 species